rnacentral:misc_RNA from 1 species
GAUGAAGAACGUAGCGAAAUGCGAUAAGUAAUGUGAAUUGCAGAAUUCCGUGAAUCAUCGAAUCUUUGAACGCACAUUGCGCCCUCUGGCAUUCCGGGGGGCAUGCCUGUUCGAGCGUCAUUUCACCUUCCAGCCGUGCUGGGUGUUGGGUAGUCCGCGGCAGUGGACACCUCAAACUUAGGUGGAAGAAGCAGCCGAAAUCUUUAGCGCAGUGACUCUUAUAAUCUCGCUCUAGGUCGGUUGUUGCUUCCCCUAAAACCUCUCUCGCUUCUAAGCAAUGACUAGGAUUGAGAGAUAUUUCCAAAGAUUGACCUCGGAUCAGGUAGGAAUACCCGCUGAACUUAAGCAUAUCAAUAAGCGGAGGA